rnacentral:rRNA from 1 species
GACGAGGCACUACGGUGCUGAAGCAACAAAUGCCCUGCUUCCAGGAAAAGCCUCUAAGCAUCAGGUAACAUCAAAUCGUACCCCAAACCGACACAGGUGGUCAGGUAGAGAAUACCAAGGCGCUUGAGAGAACUCGGGUGAAGGAACUAGGCAAAAUGGUGCCGUAACUUCGGGAGAAGGCACGCUGACACGUAGGUGAAGUGAUUUACUCAUGGAGCUGAAGUCAGUCGAAGAUACCAGCUGGCUGCAACUGUUUAUUAAAAACACAGCACUGUGCAAACACGAAAGUGGACGUAUACGGUGUGACGCCUGCCCGGUGCCGGAAGGUUAAUUGAUGGGGUCAGCGCAAGCGAAGCUCCUGAUCGAAGCCCCGGUAAACGGCGGCCGUAACUAUAACGGUCCUAAGGUAGCGAAAUUCCUUGUCGGGUAAGUUCCGACCUGCACGAAUGGCGUAAUGAUGGCCAGGCUGUCUCCACCCGAGACUCAGUGAAAUUGAACUCGCUGUGAAGAUGCAGUGUACCCGCGGCAAGACGGAAAGACCCCGUGAACCUUUACUAUAGCUUGACACUGAACAUUGAGCCUUGAUGUGUAGGAUAGGUGGGAGGCUUUGAAGUGUGGACGCCAGUCUGCAUGGAGCCGGCCUUGAAAUACCACCCUUUAAUGUUUGAUGUUCUAACGUGGACCCGUGAUCCGGGUUGCGGACAGUGUCUGGUGGGUAGUUUGACUGGGGCGGUCUCCUCCUAAAGAGUAACGGAGGAGCACGAAGGUUGGCUAAUCCUGGUCGGACAUCAGGAGGUUAGUGCAAUGGCAUAAGCCAGCUUGACUGCGAGCGUGACGGCGCGAGCAGGUGCGAAAGCAGGUCAUAGUGAUCCGGUGGUUCUGAAUGGAAGGGCCAUCGCUCAACGGAUAAAAGGUACUCCGGGGAUAACAGGCUGAUACCGCCCAAGAGUUCAUAUCGACGGCGGUGUUUGGCACCUCGAUGUCGGCUCAUCACAUCCUGGGGCUGAAGUAGGUCCCAAGGGUAUGGCUGUUCGCCAUUUAAAGUGGUACGCGAGCUGGGUUUAGAACGUCGUGAGACAGUUCGGUCCCUAUCUGCCGUGGGCGCUGGAGAACUGAGGGGGGCUGCUCCUAGUACGAGAGGACCGGAGUGGACGCAUCACUGGUGUUCGGGUUGUCAUGCCAAUGGCACUGCCCGGUAGCUAAAUGCGGAAGAGAUAAGUGCUGAAAGCAUCUAAGCACGAAACUUGCCCCGAGAUGAGUUCUCCCUGAGACUUUAGGUCUCCUGAAGGAACGUUGAAGACGACGACGUUGAUAGGCCGGGUGUGUAAGCGCAGCGAUGCGUUGAGCUAACCGGUACUAAUGAACCGUGAGGCUUAACCUUACAACGCCGAAG